AUGGACAACAAUAGCCCUACUAUACCGAUGCCUAUCACAUGUUCGACAGAGUGCCCGAGUGGUAACGCCACCGUCAACAUCUGUCCUGAGACCACAGCCUUCGUUGUGUGCGAAGAGACCCUCGACAUUGAAGCCAUCAGUGUUGUUGCACCAUCACCUGUUGUGAGCUUGAUUGUUGGUCUAGCAUAUGCUUAUGUGGAGGUGCCCCUCGUCAUGGGGAGUGUGGCCCCAUUCUCGACAGCUCCUCCAAAGGCCGCGCUAACCUCAUCAAAGCAACAAGGACAAAUGCUACGUCCAAUACCAUGGCCAUCAUUUAAAUGGCAUUCGAAAUCAACCAAUCCUCAAGAUCCACGUCCGGUAACUGGUAUAUUUGGGAAACCAUCUACAUGUCAACCGCAUGAGGAUCUCAAUUGUUGUGUUGCUAGUUUGGUCUUGCAUCGGACUAGUUCUUCAGAUGGACAUUAUUUACAAGUACUUCCUGCACUAAAAAGUUUCUGGUGUGAGUUCUAUUAUAUUGGAGGGCCCGGUGGUCAUUGGCAGUACCAAUAUGCAUAUCUGCAGCAGUGCCGUUCAUCUCAUCGAUCAAAUUAUCUGAAGCGCAUGAGCGCUAGUGAUGUCACAUUGAUUUUGAAACAGGAAGCACAAGGUUUGUUAAGUGGCAUUCUAGUGGAAUAUGUGAGUAAUAAAACUGGUGGAGUUGGCUAUUUCUUGCAAACUUAUGACCAAAGAUAUGAUUCCAAUGGAAGGCUGUCACCUGCAGUGGCAUUUUCUACUGCCAACAUAGUACUUCUCCCAAGGGAUACAACUUGCUUGCAAAAUUGGCCACCACCUCUGUAUGGUAUAGAAUAUGGUGGUACCUUCAAAUACAACACUAAAAGAAUGAUAUGGUUUCCUAUCCUCGUAAAUCAAGUCCAUUUGAUUUGGAAGUCACCAUGGCUCCCCCCCGAGCAAGGGCAGAAAAAUGGAGUUGUAGAAAUGUUUGGUAUACUUAUUUAA
rnacentral:rRNA from 1 species